rnacentral:rRNA from 1 species
GACGAACGCUGGCGGCGUGCCUAACACAUGCAAGUCGAACGGAGAGGACAUGAAGUAUUUCGGUACGGAAUGCUCUCUUAGUGGCGAACGGGUGAGUAACACGUGGGCAACCUGCCCCAGACUGGGGGAUAACAUUGUGAAAACAGUGCUAAUACCGCAUGACAGGGUUCCGGGCAUCCGGGACCCUUGAAAGGAGAAAUCCGGUCAGGGAUGGGCCCGCGUCCAAUUAGCUAGUUGGCGGGGUAACGGCCACCAAGGCGACGAUUGGUAGCCGAACUGAGAGGUUGAUCGGCCACAUUGGGACUGAGACACGGCCCAGACUCCUACGGGAGGCAGCAGUGGGGAAUAUUGGGCAAUGGGCGAAAGCCUGACCCAGCGACGCCGCGUGAAGGAUGAAGGUCUUCGGAUUGUAAACUUCUUUGAUCAGGGAAGAAAGAAAUGACGGUACCUGAAAACAAGCCACGGCUAACUACGUG